AGCUUUGCACAGUGGCAGUAUCGUAGCCAAUGAGGUUUAUCUGAGGAGCGAUUAUUGCUAAUUGAAAACUUUUCCAAAAUAAACAAAACAAACAAAAAAAAAAACCUGUGGCAAUUCAGUGUGGAUUCAUGUGGAUUGAGCAUAUUUAUUGAACCUGUUAUUGUGAGUUGUGAAAGACA
rnacentral:snRNA from 1 species